rnacentral:rRNA from 1 species
ACCUGCGGAAGGAUCAUUGUCGAAACCUGCAUAGCAGAACGACCCGCGAACAUGUGUAKYACAYUGGGGACGCGGGCAUGCCCGUGGCUCCUUGUCGACGCGCGCGCCCUUUGGGAKUGCGCGUCGGCACCAAACGAACCCCGGCGCGAUCCGCGCCAAGGAAAACCUAACUCGAGAGCGCCUYGUCCUGCCGUCGCCUCGUUCGCGGUGCGCGCGCGGUUGGACGGUCGCUUCUUAGUGAAAAACACAAACGACUCUCGGCAACGGAUAUCUCGGCUCUCGCAUCGAUGAAGAACGUAGCGAAAUGCGAUACUUGGUGUGAAUUGCAGAAUCCCGUGAACCAUCGAGUCUUUGAACGCAAGUUGCGCCCGAAGCCAUUAGGCCGAGGGCACGUCUGCAUGGGCGUCACGCAUCGCGUCGCCCCCCUUACCAAAACAAAACAAGGGGGAGCGGAUACUGGCCUCCCGUGCCUCGCGGCGCGGCUGGCUCAAAACGGAGUUCCCCGCGAAGGACGCACGACAAGUGGUGGUUGAUAACAAGGCCCUCGCGUCCCGUCGUGCGCAUGUCCUGCGCUGGGGUUGGCUCUAUAGACCCUGAUGCGCCUUUACUUAGGUGCUCCGACCGCGACCCCAUGUCAGGCGGGACUACCCGCUGAGUUUAAGCAUAU